rnacentral:lncRNA from 1 species
CGGUGGGCCAAACAGCGGGUUACUUUUUGGGCAAUGUUUUGUUUUUGGCCCUUGAAUCUGCCGACUUUUGUAACAAAUAUUUGCGGUUUCAGCCUCAACCCAGAGGAAUCAUUUAAAACAUUUUCAGAUUUCCUUUUUUUCUGGGGAACUGUAUUUUUAAUAACAACAACAUUGGUUGCCCUUCUGAAAAAAGAAAACGAAGUAUCAGUAGUAAAAGAAGAAACACAAGGGAUCACAGAUACUUACAAGCUGCUUUUUGCAAUUAUAAAAAUGCCAGCAGUUCUGACAUUUUGCCUUCUGAUUCUAACUGCAAAGAUUGGUUUUUCAGCAGCAGAUGCUGUAACAGGACUGAAAUUGGUAGAAGAGGGAGUACCCAAAGAACAUUUAGCCUUAUUGGCAGUUCCAAUGGUUCCUUUGCAGAUAAUACUGCCUCUGAUUAUCAGCAAAUACACUGCAGGUCCCCAGCCAUUAAACACAUUUUACAAAGCCAUGCCCUACAGAUUAUUGCUUGGGUUAGAAUAUGCCCUACUGGUUUGGUGGACUCCUAAAGUAGAACAUCAAGGGGGAUUCCCUAUAUAUUACUAUAUCGUAGUCCUGCUGAGUUAUGCUUUACAUCAGUUCUGCUGUUCAUAGAAAGAGACUUUUUUAUUUAUUUAUUUAUUUUUUUCCCAAGAUGAAGUUACAGUGUACAGCAUGUAUGUUUCUAUAAUGGCUUUCAAUGCAAAGGUUAGUGAUCCACUUAUUGGAGGAACAUACAUGACCCUUUUAAAUACCGUGUCCAAUCUGGGAGGAAACUGGCCUUCUACAGUAGCUCUUUGGCUUGUAGAUCCCCUCACAGUAAAAGAGUGUGUAGGAGCAUCAAACCAGAAUUGUCGAACACCUGAUGCUGUUGAGCUUUGCAAAAAACUGGGUGGCUCAUGUGUUACAGCCCUGGAUGGUUAUUAUGUGGAGUCCAUUAUUUGUGUUUUCAUUGGAUUUGGUUGGUGGUUCUUUCUUGGUCCAAAAUUUAAAAAGUUACAGGAUGAAGGAUCAUCUUCGUGGAAAUGCAAAAGGAACAAUUAAUAUAUAUGCUACUGGACAUUCUAGCAAGGUAAUUGUAGUUUAGUUUUAAUUCGGAGAGCAAUGAUAAUCAGUGCACAGGAGUAUAAAAUAUUAUUUUAAACAGCGAAAUUAAUAAUAUAAAAUGCCAAAUGGUUGAAAAAAUAGAAACCUUUCUGUAUAUUUGAUCAUAUUUUUUUUUUGCCUUGUCAAUGUAUUUAAAGUUUACUUAAGGUCAGGAAAUUCUAAAACAACUUUUCUGGCCUUGUUAUUUGAUGUAUAUCUUUUAAAUUUACUGACCAAAGCAUGUUUUAAGCUGCAAUGCAGUAGUCACGGGUGGUAACCAUGUAGUCAGGUAUUGUUAUUAGUACCUAUCACUGCUGAGCUGUAUUUAAAAUUUUGGUACAAUAUAUAAAAUGGAGAAGAGCUUGAUAUUCAGGUACUAACCACAACUAGUCUGACAUUGUUGGCAGUUAAAAUCUUAUUUUGAAUUGUAAAUUAGUUAAAUUUUAUGUGGAAUUUGCUGAGAAAAGAAUAUAGACUACUGAAAUGUCAUUUUAGUUAUUUUUCUUAUGACCACAUUGUACAAAUGAAUCUGUGUUAAAAAGACUAUUUUAAAUGUAUUUCCUGCUUUUGUAAGCAUUAAAGAUUUAUAAGAAAAUUAUUCAAACUAUUUUUUAUAAAAUGAAAGUUAUGAUUUUUAAACUUAUUGAUUCCUCUUGCCCCUACCCCCUCUUUUUGGAAGAUAUUUUGAUUCCUUAUAAACUUUUACCCUAAGCUUAUAUAUGUUUUCUGUCACAAGUGCUUCCUGGCACACAGACAGCCAAUGGAGGGGAUCAAAUUCAGUGUUGUAUGUAUGUUUAUGGCAACAUUUUG